AGGGCUGUAGUUAAUUAUAACAUUUGAUUUGCAUUCAGAAAGUAUUGAAAUUAAUUCAAUCUGCCUUA
rnacentral:tRNA from 1 species